rnacentral:lncRNA from 10 species
CACAACAGCCCUCUGGGAGGGCAAGUGGAAGAGUGAGUAGAUCAGCUGGAUAGGAGUGAGGAGUUGGAGGAAGGGUUGGGGUAUGGCCAGUGCAGUUAAGUGACUUGCCUUAGUGCACACCCCCAGAAAGUGACAGCACCAGCAUUUGAACCCUGACACAAGCAUCUCCAAAACUGCAUUCUUCCCACUGUGCCACAGUUAAGAUGAGUCCACCAGCCCUGUUUAGGUGAGUUCUGG